rnacentral:rRNA from 1 species
UACGUAGGGUGCAAGCGUUUAAUCGGAAUUACUGGGCGUAAAGCGUGCGCAGGCGGUUCUAUAAGACAGAUGUGAAAUCCCCGGGCUCAACCUGGGAACUGCAUUUGUGACUGUAGAGCUGGAGUGCGGCAGAGGGGGAUGGAAUUCCGGCGUGUAGCAGUGAAAUGCGUAGAUAUGCGGAGGAACACCGAUGGCGAAGGCAAUCCCCUGGGCCUGCACUGACGCUCAUGCACGAAAGCGUGGGGAGCAAACAGG